CGAAGGUUAAGCUGGGCAGCACUGCUUGGCAGCCACUGGAGGUGCUGUUCCCACCCAUGUGCAGCUGGGCAGGGUCCCUACCCCAGGGCAGCAGUUAAUGGCCUAGACACCCCUGCAUAUUUGAGAUCAAGAAAUGUCAGUAGUGGUUAAUAAUGUGAAUUCCACAGUCUGUAUCUUUCACACUUCCAUCUCUGCUUUUAAGGUGAGAUUCUAAGUACUGUGGACCCAUAAUCUGUCAGGUAGAGUCUGAAAUGUUUUUCCUCUCAUUUUAGGGAUGGGCGUGUUUUGGGCGUGCUAGAGGUGUCACGCUCCAUUGGGGACGGGCAGUACAAGCGCUGCGGUGUCACCUCUGUGCCCGACAUCAGACGCUGCCAGCUGACCCCCAAUGACAGGUUCAUUUUGUUGGCCUGUGAUGGGCUCUUCAAGGUCUUUACCCCAGAAGAAGCCGUGAACUUCAUCUUGUCCUGUCUCGAGGAUGAAAAGAUCCAGACCCGGGAAGGGAAGUCCGCAGCCGACGCUCGCUACGAAGCAGCCUGCAACAGGCUGGCCAACAAGGCGGUGCAGCGGGGCUCAGCCGACAACGUCACUGUGAUGGUGGUGCGGAUAGGGCACUGAGGGGUGGCGCGCGGCCAGGAGCACGCAUGGUAUUGACUUAAAAGGUUCAUUUUGUGUGUGUGCACAUUGUGUGUUUUGUGUACUCCUGUGGGACUCCCAUGGUUGUAAAUAAAGGUUUCUCUUUUUUUUUCCUA
rnacentral:sRNA from 1 species